rnacentral:rRNA from 1 species
UACGUAGGGGGCGAGCGUUGUCCGGAUUUAUUGGGCGUAAAGAGCUCGUAGGCGGUUUGGUAAGUCGGGUGUGAAAUCUCCACGCUCAACGUGGAGGGGCCACUCGAUACUGCCAUGACUCGAGUCCGGUAGAGGAGUGUGGAAUUCCCGGUGUAGCGGUGAAAUGCGCAGAUAUCGGGAGGAACACCGGUGGUGUAGACGGCUUUCUGGACCGUAACUGACGCUGAGACACGAAAGCGUGGGUAGCAAACAGG